rnacentral:rRNA from 1 species
UAGGGAAUAUUGGACAAUGGGGGCAACCCUGAUCCAGCAAUGCCGCGUGAGUGAUGAAGGCCUUAGGGUUGUAAAGCUCUUUUGCCCGAGAUGAUAAUGACAGUAUCGGGAGAAUAAGCUUCGGCUAACUCCGUGCCAGCAGCCGCGGUAAUACGGAGGGAGCUAGCGUUGUUCGGAAUUACUGGGCGUAAAGCGCACGUAGGCGGCGAUUUAAGUCAGAGGUGAAAGCCCGGGGCUCAACCCCGGAACUGCCUUUGAGACUGGAUUGCUUGAAUCCUGGAGAGGUGAGUGGAAUUCCGAGUGUAGAGGUGAAAUUCGUAGAUAUUCGGAAGAACACCAGUGGCGAAGGCGGCUCACUGGACAGGUAUUGACGCUGAGGUGCGAAAGCGUGGGGAGCAAACA